rnacentral:rRNA from 1 species
UACGGAGGGUGCGAACGUUGCUCGGAAUCAUUGGGCGUAAAGCGCGCGUAGGCGGUCCACUAAGUCGGGUGUGAAAGCCCUCGGCUCAACCGGGGAAGUGCAUCCGAAACUGAUGGGCUAGAGUACGGGAGAGGGUAGCGGAAUUCCCGGUGUAGAGGUGAAAUUCGUAGAUAUCGGGAGGAACACCAGUGGCGAAGGCGGCUACCUGGACCGAUACUGACGCUGAGGCGCGAAAGCGUGGGGAGCAAACAGG